AUCACUUGCUGCUAUUCACUGCUAAUGUGCUAAUUGUCAUCAAUUUACUGCCUCAAUUAUGUGGUCAUACACUUGCCUCGAGGUAUAGAGAUGUGAUAUAAGGAUCUGGAGGAGAAACAAGCUCUCCCUGGUUUUAAUGCAGGAAAAGAAACCUGGAGUGAGUCUGAACAUGGAUGGAGUUGCAGAAUUCUCCCAGAGAAAAAUUAUUCUAACACGGAGAUGAUGGUGCUGUGCUGUUGAUGCCACCAAGGCCACCCACCUGUGGGCAGCUGCAGCUAUUUUCUUGUGUUGAAGCCACAUUGGAAUCUGAGGUGCUCACGUUCUGGUGAAGUUCUUUGGGUUCUUUUUUCCUGACAAGAAAUGAAGAACAAAUGUUUGCUGGAUUCCUCUGUUCCUUAUACCAUUUUGAUGACCUUAUGUUUUUCACUUUUGGCCCUGCAUAGCUAUCUUUUCUUUUAUAAUAAUGUUUGCAGGCAGCCCUUUUCUCCAUAGUGAAAGCCAGUGCCCCAGGAGUCAGCACAGGUUCAUCAGCAGAAGUGUUCAGCAAAUACUCUGCUCUUCAGGCUGCUCCUCACAGGCAUUUGUUCCCUUAUUUUUACUUCUACAAGAAAGGAAAGUCCCGGAAAGAACAUAAUUCUUGUUCACAAAUCUAGGGAUAGGGAACCUGGGACACACCUGAGCAUCUGCACCUUCCUGGGAGGGCUGGAAUGCGAGGGGCUCAGCCUGAGGCUGAAGAAGAGGAGCCCCCUGAGCAUGCUCUGGGCAGGCUGCCAGGCUCCUUCUGCUUCUGCAUCUUCUUUUUGGCCAGCAAGAGCUCACCAACCUCCCCACGCCCCUGAUUAGUGCCCAGCUUGGACCCUGCUGCUUUCCUCAAGCCUGUUGGAUGUGGCAUGCACCACGGGGGGGUUAGGAAGGGGUUUGUUUUGCCAAAAAAUUACUAAAGAAGCUCACAUUCCAUUUGUGCCAUCCACCCUUAAUUCCCUGGGGAUGAUUUUGUUAGUCUCAGUUGGGGCAGUGAGUCCUUUUCUUUCUCCUGCCUGCUCAGUGCAGCAGAGGGAAAGCUGGAUAAAAACAAUCAGGGAAAAUAAAGCAACACUUCUGCUCUAGUAGGAGCUGUUAUAAUCCAAAUCAGCUGAUAAAAGCAUUCUUGACAGUGAUUUGGGAUUGAAGUCCACCAAAAAAAUGGUUAAAAGGUUACAUCAGAAAACAGAACUUUUGAGAACAAAUUGUUGCUGCAGAAAUGCACCUGGGAAGAUCAGGUUUAACACUCUGCCUUGUUCUUCCCAUUUCCCUCUCAGAUCCUUUAGUAUCCAUCCUUUAGAAGUGCCAAAGGAAUGUGGCAGCAUUUUUAAAUUAAGCUCAGGUGUGCAAACAGCUCUGAUCCUUCUGCCUCCACAGCCACAUGCAUAAGGAAAUGAAAAAAAAAUUACUAAAGGUCAUUGUUUCUGCAUUUAAUUUUGUAUUUAUUUGUUUGGUAAGACACCCCAGUCAGAUGCUCUGGGCACUCCUGGCUAUUAAUUGCAAACUCAGCGUGCCAUGCAAUUAAGGGAAACAAAACAAGACUGAAAAGCUUCAGAAAUAGAUGAGAAAAUAGGAAAAUCACAACAGCAAACAGGAAAAUCAAACAAAAACUGCAGAAGUCACCAGACUCAUGUGCUGGCAGAGGAGAUGAGCUGUGAGAGCAGGAUGGGGCA